GGAUCAGGUAGGGAUACCCGCUGAACUUAAGCAUAUCAAUAAGCGGAGGAA
rnacentral:rRNA from 1 species